rnacentral:rRNA from 1 species
UACGUAGGGCGCAAGCGUUGUCCGGAAUUAUUGGGCGUAAAGAGCUCGUAGGCGGCUUGGCACGUCGGCUGUGAAAGCCCGGGGCUUAACCCCGGGUCUGCAGUCGAUACGGGCUAGCUCGAGUGUGGUAGGGGAGAGCGGAAUUCCUGGUGUAGCGGUGAAAUGCGCAGAUAUCAGGAGGAACACCGGUGGCGAAGGCGGAUCUCUGGGCCAUUACUGACGCUGAGGAGCGAAAGCGUGGGGAGCGAACAGG